CGCUCUUUGGAAAAUUCUUUUAUACAUAAAGAGUUCUGCCUGCCCAGUGACAUCGUGUUAAACGGCCGCGGUAUCUUGACCGUGCGAAGGUAGCAUAAUCAUUUGCCCUUUAAAUGGGGGCUGGUAUGAAUGGCAAGACGGAAAUCUAACUGUCUCCCUUUUAAAAUUCUUGAAAUUAAUAUCUCUGUGAAGAAGCAGAUAUAAAGUCGCGGGACGAGAAGACCCUAUCGAGUUUAAGUUUGUAUUCCUAAACUAACAAAAUACUAAUGUAAGCUGAUUAUUAAAAUAACAAAGUAGAUUCACUAUCAAUAGUAUAUAGUUUUAGGUCUGAUACUUUAAUUGGGGCAAUUGCGGAGAAGACCUAUCCUCCGAUUUGAAUAAUAAUUUUACAAAUAACACUUUGGAAAUGUAAAGAUUUACACACUCAAUGAUCCGUUUAUAAACGAACGAGCAAAGGAAUAAAUUACCGUAGGGAUAACAGCGUUAUUCUCUUAGAGAGUCCACAUUGAUAAGAGAGUUUGCGACCUCGAUGUUGGAUCGGGACUUCCCAGAAAUGCAGCAGUUUCUAAAGGUUGGUCUGUUCGACCAUUAAAGUCCU
rnacentral:rRNA from 1 species